rnacentral:lncRNA from 1 species
GAACCAUUGAUUUAAGUAGUUAGGCAGGUAAAAGGCACUAUGUAGUCAUUUCACCCAUGGACAACCCUGAGACUAAUCCCAAAGACAAUCAAGGAAUCAAUGAACAGCACACAAAAUGCACAGAGGUGAGCACUCAAGAAAGUGGGCAAGCUUUAGCAUAGAGAUCAAGUCAUGCAAUGCUUCACUGGAGUUUUUGUUUAGGAGAUAUAGGCAGAACAAAGGUAGGGCUUUAAGUAUGGUAGGGAUGAGGGCGCCUCCCCACACAACCCAGGAAAACCUUAGCAUGUCCGCAUCAAAGAGCUGCAGUGCGAUAUAUUCAAUGACAUCAGUGAGGAGACCUUGGAAAGGGCUUACAUUCUGUGGACCAGUGAAUGCAAGACGACUUCAGCAGAAGCUGAGGGAAGCAAUAUUCUCCUGCAAAGCCAUAAGGAAUGAUGUACAUAUUCAUGGACAAUUUUGGAUCAGCAACCUCUAGGGAGUGUUCAAGUGCAUGUUUACAUGAAAGGUGGCAAUGUACAUUUACUACUUUCCCACAUGAUUCCAGAAGGGAAGACUGUUAGCCACCAUUAUCACCACCUCCAUCUCUUCCCCUUCUCCAAGAUGAUCCUUGAGGCUAAUCUUUACAUUGUCUUUGCAAGAUCUGUACCGCCUUUGUGAUCAGGUGGGAUGGAUUGUGUGUGGCAGGAAAGGGAAGGCCUUGGCAACCAUGACAUCUUCCUGCUCCAGGUAGCCUUCUUGAUUCAGAUAUAAUGGCCCAAAUCCUUUUGCUCACAUAUGCCUGCAUAAACCAAACUGUAAGUUGCUGCAGUGACUUUCUGCUUAUUGUCCACAUUGUCAUGUGACAGGCGUGUGAAAAGGAAUACAAGCACCAACAUUUUAACUAGUACCAAUUUACUCUUUUAGUUUAUACUGUACAGUGGGGUCUUGACUUAAGAACGGCUUGAGUUAAGAACAUUUUGACUUAAGAACCACUCUCAUAGGAAAAUAUUGACUUGACUUAAGUACUUAGAUUUGAGUUAAGAACUGAAAAAAACCACAUGGUAGGCAGGGAAAGUGCAAAAUUUGAACUUUCAGUUAACUGUUGGCCAGUGAAAGGGGUGCCUGUCUGUUUCCUCACUCCUCUCAGCGUUUAGAGAGUGGAUUGGGAGACAGUCUUCAGGCUGCCUGGUACUGUACUGCCUGGACUGUAUUUUCCCUGCCUUCCCUGAACCUUUCUUGACCUAAGAAAAAAAAAGAAACAAAAUAUACCCCUCUAGUGGUCGAAGGCAGAAUAGCAGCUUCCCAUUAGUUUCGAUGGACGGAAAAGAGCAGAUACGGAUCAAAUGGUUUUCCAUGCAUUCCUAUGGGAAAUGCAGAUUUGACCUGAGAACUUUUUGACUUGAGAACCACCUUCCAAUACGGAUUAAGUUCUCAAGUCAAGACCCCACUGUAUACUGAUGAUGCAAAGGCUUCUUAGUAGAGAAAUCUUUAACACAUGUGUGGAUUUAUUGACUGCACUUCUUGACCCGUCUGUGAGAAAAGACAAUAAAGAUACUAUUACCAAUUU